rnacentral:rRNA from 1 species
AGAGUUUGAUCCUGGCUCAGGAUGAACGCUAGCGGGAGGCUUAACACAUGCAAGUCGAGGGGCAGCAUUCACUUCGGUGAGAUGGCGACCGGCGCACGGGUGCGUAACGCGUAUGCAACCUACCUUAUACAAAGGGAUAGCCCAUGGAAACGUGGAUUAAUACCUUAUAGUACUAUAAAGCUGCAUAGCUUAAUAGUUAAAACUUCGGUGGUAUAAGAUGGGCAUGCGUAUGAUUAGGUAGUUGGUAGGGUAAAAGCCUACCAAGCCGACGAUCAUUAGGGGUUCUGAGAGGAUUAUCCCCCACACUGGUACUGAGACACGGACCAGACUCCUACGGGAGGCAGCAGUGAGGAAUAUUGGUCAAUGGACGAGAGUCUGAACCAGCUAUCCCGCGUGCAGGAUGACGGCCCUAUGGGUUGUAAACUGCUUUUGUAUGCCAAGAAAUCUAUCUACGUGUAGAAAGUUGACGGUAGCAUACGAAUAAGACCGCUAGCU